UACGUAGGGUGCGAGCGUUGUCCGGAAUUAUUGGGCGUAAAGAGCUCGUAGGCGGCCUGUCGCGUCGGAUGUGAAAGCCCCGGGGCUUAACCCCGGGUCUGCAUUCGAUACGGGCAGGCUAGAGUGUGGUAGGGGAGAUCGGAAUUCCUGGUGUAGCGGUGAAAUGCGCAGAUAUCAGGAGGAACACCGGUGGCGAAGGCGGAUCUCUGGGCCAUUACUGACGCUGAGGAGCGAAAGCGUGGGGAGCAAACAGG
rnacentral:rRNA from 1 species